rnacentral:rRNA from 1 species
UACGGAGGGGGCUAGCGUUGUUCGGAAUUACUGGGCGUAAAGCGCGCGUAGGCGGCUUUGUAAGUUAGAGGUGAAAGCCCGGAGCUCAACUCCGGAACUGCCUUUAAGACUGCAUCGCUAGAACGAUGGAGAGGUAAGUGGAAUUCCGAGUGUAGAGGUGAAAUUCGUAGAUAUUCGGAAGAACACCAGUGGCGAAGGCGACUUACUGGACAUCUGUUGACGCUGAGGUGCGAAAGCGUGGGGAGCGAACAGG